CUACGGGCCGCACCAGUGAGGAAUUUUGCGCAAUGGGGGAAACCCUGACGCAGCAACGCCGCGUGAGUGAAGAAGGCUUUCGGGUCGUAAAGCUCUGUCAGAUAGGAAAAAAGUUCAUAUGUAAAUAGCUUAUGAAUCUGAUGGUACUAUCAGAGGAAGCACCGGCUAACUCCGUGCCAGCAGCCGCGGUAAUACGGAGGGUGCAAGCGUUGUUCGGAAUUACUGGGCGUAAAGGGCGUGUAGGCGGUAUGGUAAGUCAGAUGUGAAAGCCCUGGGCGUAACUCAGGAAGUGCAUUGAUACUGCCAUCCUCGAGUAUGGGAGAGGAGAGUAGAAUUCCCAGUGUAGAGGUGAAAUUCGUAGAUAUUGGGAGGAAUACCCGUGGCGAAGGCGACUCUCUGGACCAAUACUGACGCUGAGACGCGAAAGCGUGGGGAGCAAACAGGAUUAGAUACCCGCGUAGUC
rnacentral:rRNA from 1 species